GCCUACAGGCAUACCAUUCUGAUCCCAGAAGCUAAAUUGGGUCAGGUGUGGCAAGUACUUACAUGAAAGACUGUCCCGGAAUACUGGGUGCUGUAGGUU
rnacentral:rRNA from 10 species